rnacentral:lncRNA from 1 species
CUCCUGCCCAUCUCCACAAUCACAUCUCUGGCCUGCUCAUAUUCGUCCCUGGCUGCCCACCCGCCCCAACAGAAAAGCAGAACACAAGUGAAGGCUACCUUCAGAUGGGAACACCCAGGGAAGGAGGAGGACGUGGACCCACAACCAGCCUUGGGAAGAGUCAGGGCUGCUUGGAAAGGCACCAGCAGGAGGAGCAGGUCUGGAACCCAGUUGGCCUGACCCACUGGCAGAGUCCCGACUCUUCCGGAUAGCUUUCCGCACUGUUUCUAGGACCCAGACAUAUUAAAUUCCUAAAACCAAUAAGCCAAUAGGUCUUAUUUCCUCUCAGAAUUGUGUGCUGAAAACCAUUCAGAAAGCUUUCUUAGUAUAAAUCUUAAGGUAAUAAAACACAUUUCUAUUACCAGAGUUGAUCUUCAUUUAAGUUGGUAUUUUUCUGUGCAACAUUUCAGAUGUGGCUUUUGGCAUCAGAAUGUG